rnacentral:rRNA from 1 species
GAUCCGUAGUCGAAAGGGAAACAGCCCAGACCACCAGUUAAGGUCCCCAAAUAUAUGUUAAGUGGAAAAGGAUGUGGGGUUGCUUAGACAACCAGGAUGUUGGCUUAGAAGCAGCCACCAUUGAAAGAGUGCGUAAUAGCUCACUGGUCGAGUGACCCCGCGCCGAAAAUGUACCGGGGCUAAACAUAUUACCGAAACUGUGGAUGAACCUCUUUAGAGGUUCGUGGUAGGAGAGCGUUCUAAGGGCGGUGAAGUCAGACCGGAAGGACUGGUGGAGCGCUUAGAAGUGAGAAUGCCGGUAUGAGUAGCGAAAGAAGGGUGAGAAUCCCUUCCACCGAAUAUCUAAGGUUUCCUGAGGAAGGCUCGUCCGCUCAGGGUUAGUCGGGACCUAAGCCGAGGCCGAUAGGCGUAGGCGAUGGACAACAGGUAGAGAUUCCUGUACCAGUGCUAAUUGUUUAACCGAUGGGGUGACACAGAAGGAUAGGGAAUCGCACGAAUGGAAAUGUGCGUCCAAGCAGUGAGUGUGAGAAGUAGGCAAAUCCGCUUCUCGCGAAGCAUGAGCUGUGAUGGGGAAGGAAAUUAAGUACGGAAGUUCCUGAUUUCACGCUGUCAAGAAAAGCCUCUAGGAAGAGUAGUACUGCCCGUACCGCAAACCGACACAGGUAGAUGAGGAGAGAAUCCUAAGGUGAGCGAGAGAACUCUCGUUAAGGAACUCGGCAAAAUGACCCCGUAACUUCGGGAGAAGGGGUGCUCUAUUAGGGUGCAAGCCCGAGAGAGCCGCAGUGAAUAGGCCCAGGCGACUGUUUAGCAAAAACACAGGUCUCUGCAAAACCGUAAGGUGACGUAUAGGGGCUGACGCCUGCCCGGUGCUGGAAGGUUAAGAGGAGUGCUUAGCUUCGGCGAAGGUACGAAUUGAAGCCCCAGUAAACGGCGGCCGUAACUAUAACGGUCCUAAGGUAGCGAAAUUCCUUGUCGGGUAAGUUCCGACCCGCACGAAAGGCGCAACGAUCUGGGCACUGUCUCAACGAGAGACUCGGUGAAAUUAUAGUACCUGUGAAGAUGCAGGUUACCCGCGACAGGACGGAAAGACCCCGUGGAGCUUUACUGCAACCUGAUAUGGAAUGUUUGUACCGCUUGUACAGGAUAGGUAGGAGCCGAAGAGACGUGUGCGCUAGCAUACGAGGAGGCAAUGGUGGGAUACUACCCUGGCUGUAUGACCAUUCUAACCCGCCACGCUUAGCGCGUGGGGAGACAGUGUCAGGUGGGCAGUUUGACUGGGGCGGUCGCCUCCUAAAGAGUAACGGAGGCGCCCAAAGGUUCCCUCAGAAUGGAUGGAAAUCAUUCGCAGAGUGUAAAGGCACAAGGGAGCUUGACUGCGAGACUGACAAGUCGAGCAGGGACGAAAGUCGGGCUUAGUGAUCCGGUGGUUCCGCAUGGAAGGGCCAUCGCUCAACGGAUAAAAGCUACCCCGGGGAUAACAGGCUUAUCUCCCCCAAGAGUCCACAUCGACGGGGAGGUUUGGCACCUCGAUGUCGGCUCGUCGCAUCCUGGGGCUGUAGUCGGUCCCAAGGGUUGGGCUGUUCGCCCAUUAAAGCGGCACGCGAGCUGGGUUCAGAACGUCGUGAGACAGUUCGGUCCCUAUCCGUCGCGGGCGCAGGAAAUUUGAGAGGAGCUGUCCUUAGUACGAGAGGACCGGGAUGGACACACCGCUGGUGUACCAGUUGUUCCGCCAGGAGCAUCGCUGGGUAGCUAUGUGUGGCAGGGAUAAACGCUGAAAGCAUCUAAGCGUGAAGCCCCCCUCAAGAUGAGAUUUCCCAUUUCUUCGGAAAGUAAGAUCCCUGAAAGAUGAUCAGGUAGAUAGGUU